GGGAAUUUUCCGCAAUGGGCGAAAGCCUGACGGAGCAAUACCGCGUGAGGGAGGAAGGCUCUUGGGUUGUAAACCUCUUUUCUCAGGGAAGAACAGAAUGACGGUACCUGAGGAAUAAGCAUCGGCUAACUCCGUGCCAGCAGCCGCGGUAAUACGGAGGAUGCAAGCGUUAUCCGGAAUGAUUGGGCGUAAAGAGUCCGUAGGUGGCAUUGAAAGUCUGCUGUUAAAGAGUCUAGCUCAACUAGAUAAGAGCAGUGGAAACUACAAAGCUAGAGUUUGGUCGGGGCAGAAGGAAUUCCUGGUGUAGCGGUGAAAUGCGUAGAUAUCAGGAAUAACACCAGUGGCGAAGGCGUUCUGCUAGGCCGAGACUGACACUGAGGGACGAAAGCUAGGGGAGCGAAUGGGAUUAGAUACCCCAGUAGUC
rnacentral:rRNA from 1 species